rnacentral:snoRNA from 1 species
AGUACUUGUGUAUGCUUUUGUAUCAUUUGUGGACAAAAACUUAUAGACCAGUACAAAAAUAAAUCCUCUUUUGCAACUGAUAUGUUCAGCAUAUCAGUUUUGAUACAGAUAAGAAGGAACAUG